GCCCACGCUUCCGGAGACGGCCCCCACCCACCCUCCUACGCGGCCCUCGCGCGCUUCCUAGGCCUAUGGGGAGCCUGUCUGUUUAGAGCAGUCUGCAUGAUUAGGGAGAAACGCUGGGCCCAGUUUCUAAGGCUUGCCGCCAUCCAAGCUGACCUGGGCCACGCUGGAACAGGCAGAGGAUUGCGUGGAAAUGACAUCAAACCCGUGGGCCCUGACGUUCCAUCCUCGGAGGGAGAAAACUUUCUCUGUGUAGCCCUGGGUCUCCUGGAAUUCGCUCUCUAGACCAGGUUGACCUCAAGAUCAGAAUCUGCCUGCCUCCUCUUCCCUUGAAGGCCUGUGUCACCGCUGCCUGGCUCUUCUGCUUUUCAUUAUAGAAGAUUAUGCUCUGUAAAGAACCCAAGAUUCUAGCUGGAUAAUUUUCCUUACUUUUAGACCAACAAAUUUUAAUAUGGUGUCCAUUCCCUGAGCUUAAAUAAAGGCUUGUUUGCUGUGCAAGCCUUCUACCCCAUGUACUUACCAUAGACACACAGUAAACACAGAGUGGGCCAGUGUUUGUUUUUGUCUUUAAUCAUUUGUCUCUAACUCUAAUGAAUUAAUCUGUGCUAACAUAGCCCAUCUGUUGUCUGUGUGUGGUAUUUGAGUUCUUUACAUAUGCCCCACUCUCUUUAGCACAGCAUAGACGCCUGCCUUUCUUUCCUUUUAAAUAACAAGAUCAAUAGUAUUUGGGGACCUGCAGGGGCGUCCUGUAUGACAGGAAAUUCAAUAUGUGGCUUUACAAUUUAUUUAUUUAUUUAUUUUUUGGUUCUUUUUUUCGGAGCUGGGGACUGAACCCAGGGCCUUGCGCUUCCUAGGCAAGCGCUCUGCCACUGAGCCAAAUCCCCAACCCCAUACAAUUUUUAAAAAGAGGCACUUGUGUCCCAUGGGCUACCCGCUACUGUGCCUUGUUAAAACCAGAACACAAAACAGGGACAGACAUGGGUACAGAACCAUAGUCCAAUGUUUACAGAACACAGGAUUAUCAAUUAAUGAAAAUGUUUAAAAACUAUACGAGCACCUUUUGUUCAUCUGAGAUUCAAAACUAGGAAAUUAGGUUCUGUGUGCUUAAGCCAAUGUAAAGAGUCAAUGGUUUAUAGAAAGUUAUGGUUAAAGUAUGGUUUCUUCUCUUCUUCCUUUUCCUUUUCUUUUUUUUCCUUUUUUCUUUUCUUUUUUCUUCUUUGGGAGUCUGAAGUGUAACCAGUAUCCAUGUAUCCCAGC